rnacentral:lncRNA from 1 species
GAUGUUCUUGCGUAACUUAGCGGUUCCCGUAAUACUAGCGGUUCGGCAAAAGAGAACGAUAGAAUCAGUACUAGUUUUACGAAGAAUAAGUUCUUGUAUCGAUUUGUUCGACUAAAUGCGAUGCUCAAGCAUGGCCGGUGUCAAAUGACUAAAACAAAUAAAAAAUAAAAGAAUAAAGUGUGGGGGGGGGGGUAUGUGAGUGUGUGUAUUCUCGAACGUGUGUGUGCAUAUAAUGCAUCCAUAUAUAUUAUACGUGUAUUUUCAUGUCUGUGUAUGUCUGUACAGGAUUAGCCGGAAUUAUCAGUUAUUAUUUGUGUCGUUUGACUAAAUUUCACUCAGAUCAUUUAUGUAUUCACCAAAAAUCAUAUUCAUAGUAUGUUUUAAAAUUUUAACUUAGUGGUUAAUAUUCAUUGAAAUACAAGAAUGGAGAUUAUAGAGUUUAUAUAAUCGUAAACAUGAAAGAGCUACCUAUGCAAUGCUUGUUGUGGAGAAUAUACGUUGCUUUCAUAAUAAUCCUUUUAGUUUACGUUUGGUAAAACAUGUUUAAGAAAUAAAAAUACCUCUUGGCCAGAUAGCCAUUAUUUAAUCAACAAAACGGUAGAAACUGAGGCUACUACUGACGUGAGUAUAAACAACAACGGAAACAAUGACAGCAAUGCAAUCUUUGUUUGAAAGUUAUAUAAUGGCUGUUGCCGAUGUAUCUGCAAAGUUGUUAGGCGGCGAGCUGGCAGAACUGUUAGCACGCCGGGCGAAAUGCGUAGCUGUAUUUCGUCUGCCGUUACGUUCCGAGUUCAAAUUCCGCCAAGGUCGACUUUGCCUUUCAUCCUUUCGGGGUCGAUAAAUUAAGUACCAGUUACACACUGGGGUCGAUGUAAUCGACUUAAUCCGUUUGUCUGUCCUUGUUUGUCCUUUCUGUGUUUAGCCCCUUGUGGGUAGUAAAGAAAAGGAUAUUCAGUAUUGAGUAGUAUUGUUGAAAAAUUGCAAAACGAGUCUUACAAUACUAUAAAACACACUUUUGCUUUUGUCGCUUGUUUUUAUGAAAUAUUUUCAGCUACAUGUUUGUUGUAUUCCAUGUUUGUCCGUCGGAGCAACGAGGGCCAUCUAGUCAUCUUGGGAAGAGUGAUGACUUGCGUAAUAACUUUGUUUAAAGUUGCGCACCGUCAACCUCAUUCUUUUAUCCGUGACCAUCUUCAAUCCAGUGGCAAGACCAGGUCAAGGCAACAGGAGGUGGAGACGGAAGCAAUGGAUGACCAAGAUUGUUUACUUACUCCAUCUUGCUUUCUGCAUUUCCUAAUGCGUUACGGCAUCCGCCUUCCUGUCACACUGAACCAUGGAAGUUUCUUACGCUGACUUCACUGGAUACAGUUUUCACAUGCAUCGGUCGGUAAAAACUAAUAUGCUAAUUAACCCAUAGCUGGGACCUUGGCAGCUGUUACUGCUAGGGAUCAGAGUAGCUGUAGGACCAAUAGUGGCCAAGAAGUGCCACUAAACCCCUGGGACUGCCGAACGGGAGCCCCACUACCGAAUGCAGUUUAAGGUCAUACCCAUAUUAUGAGUCUAAUACAAACAUUGCAAUGAUUUUCAGUAAUGUACGGUGAUGUGGAUGUGUAUACGUAGGUCAUUCUAAAGUUAAAUCAUACAAAUGUUUUAUGCUGGUGUCCUUAAUUAUACAGCGAUCAUUAAGAAAUGUGAAUAUAUAGUGUUAUUUAUAUAAAAGGUAAUGAUUUAAUGAAAUAUGCAAUAUGCGGCGUCAGGCGGAUAUGGAUGUCUGUAACGUAUCAGAAUAAGUUUAGUUUAUUUGCAACAAAUUCUGUCUAUUGUGACAUGUAAAGUUUAACUUCCUAUUUAAGAAGGAUGUUCAGUGAUUAUGCUGAAUUUCUUUGAUGAGCAAAAGUUUUUCAUCCAUUCCUUAAAAUUGUUGCUAAACCAAGAUUAUUUUACAUAUUUGUAGGUGUUCUUUUCUUUGAUAUUAUAACUCCAUAUAAAUGUAAAAUCUUGAUAUUAUUAUUUUUGAGACAUGAUUCAAUGACUACUGUGGUGUAAAUGGAGAAGUUUCUGCUAGGACAAUGGAUGAGGUUUUUUUGUUGUGUUUGGUAAAGGCACGCUAGAUGAAGCUUACUAUAACUAGCAACGAAUCGCUAGUGUUGCGCAGAUUUCAUAAAGUAUCAAACAGUUAAACAGUAUCAAACAGUAUCAAACAGUUAAACAAACAGUAUCAGUUAUUACAAACUGUUCUAGGCGUCUUGCACCAUCAGAAGUCGACUAGAAUUUGAUUUUAUUUGAUUACAGAAUGUUCUGUAUAAUAUGUAAUGGCAUAUUUCAAAGAUAACAAAAAACGAUACCUUUGAUUACAAUAUUUCUAUUAAACGUUAUUUUCAGUCAAUCUUAUGUUUGUUCAGUGUUAAUAGGAGCCAUUUUUUUAACGUCGUCUGCUGAACUGUUUCUACAAAACUAACAAUGAGACACGUUUCAAAUAGUUUUCACAUUAUCUUUUAAAAGU